AUUUUGCAGCCGCCACUCUCCAUUCAACCACCUCCGGCGCUGCACCCCUCUCCACUAUCAAGGUUACAAGCGUUGUUGCCUUGCCGAUGAGCACCAUCGUGAUGUAGUUUUCGAGAUCGUAAGAGAACCAUGGAUGCCGGCGAGAAUCCCACUACCAUAUCAUCCUUGCCGACGACAACAAGGCCGUUGUCAUAGCCGUUUACGCCGCCUCCCUCGUCUGUGAAGCCAGAGAAACGAGACCACGAUGGGGCCACCAUAUCAGUCAACAACGAGGCAGGGAGACGCCAACCGCCACUUUUGCAUCGAUGUUUUCGAUGCUCCCCAGAUCAAUCUUCGCCAUCUCCUGCCCGGCAGUCACCGACGAAGCCGCUGAAGUUGAUUCCUCCGUCGCCGACCUUCUCUUUCUCGUCUGAGGUGUCGUUGCAUGGUGGGUGCUUGUGCUUCAUGUGUGUGUGUGCGUUUGUGGGCUGUCAUCGCCAAACCUCCGCUGCCGACCGCCAUACGCCACCAAGAAGGUGGCCGGGUCCUUCCACAACCAGGGCAUGUGUAUGUGGCAGUGUUUUUCCACUGUUGGCAUGUGUAUGUAUUUGAAGUUCUCGAAAAUGGAAUCACCACCACCAUAGGGUGGNGCCGCCAUGUGCCACCGCCGGCCACCACAAGGGUGGUUGCGGGUGUAUGUUUAUUUAGUAUAGUGUGUGUGCGUGUGUGUUUAUUUCGUGAGUUUAUUGUAAAAUGUAUUUGGAAAUCGAAAUAAUGAAAUGAAUCUCUAACCACCACCGGCUGCCGUGUCGGGUGGCGGUGUGCUUUGAUGGUGUUUGCACUUGUUUGGAUGAUUGGACAAAGGACUAAAACCCUAAUGGGCCCAAUGAAGCUUAAUGGACUGUAUUGGACCCAAUAAGACUUAAUGGGCUUAAUAAAACCUUAAUGGACCCUAAUAAAACCCUAAUGGGCUUAAUGAUAUUCUAGUGGGCUUAGUAGGCCCAAUAAAGCCCUAAUUGAUUUAAAAGCCCAACAAAUUAAUUAAUGGACUAGUAGUGGGUUGGAAACCCUAAUUAGGGGGAAUUAAUCGGGACACACGGGAAUUAUUUAAUAACUGGAGAUAUUAAAUAAUAAUCAUUGGCAAAGACUAAUCUAAGCAAUAUGGGACUUAAUGGAUUAAGUCCUUAAUGGAUUAAGUGCUUAAUGGGUUAAGUAGGAAACUUAACCCUAAUCAUUAUUUUAUGUGAAACCCUAAUUUCAUUUGGGUUUAUGGUUGGGCCUUUCUGUUGUGCCUUAAUGAUUGGGAUAUCAAAUGGGCUAUCCAAGAUCAAGCAAAUGGUCUAGAGCAAUUUAAUGGGCCUACCGUAAGGCCCAAGUAAGGGGCUUGGGCCCAAUUUAGAAAAUUGGGCCAUAGAUGGGCCAUAGUUUAGGCCUUAAUGAGUAUAUGAUGUUGGGCCUCAGAAUGAGACCAUGUAUAGGCCUAGGCCUAAUUUGGAAAAUUGGGCCAUGUGUUUUGCCUUGAUUCCUAAUUGACUUUGGGCCUACGGAUUGCGCCUUGGGCUUGAAUAAGUCAAGCGAGGGGUAAUGUAGUAAUUACCCAAAGAAUGUAUGUAUGGUUAUGUAUUGGGACCCAAUUAUUGAUCAGGUGUUAUUUUGGUGUUGACAGUUCGGGAAUCUGUCAGCCAGCAGCUGGGGUCGAGUCUGCGGGACUUCAGCAAGUGGGGGAUUGUGUCUUCGGGACUUCAACAGUGUGAGGUGAGUUACCUUCCAGUAGCGGUGGGUCUAAGGCCACAAUGCCGGCCCACCAGUAGGAGACGUAUGAUAGAUGAUUGUCUUUGUGAUAUCAUCUAGGUUUGCUACUACCUGAUAUGUUAUAUGCUAGCAUGAUAUGUUGUAUGUGAUAGUAGUCGAGUUCGGUUGUUAGGACCGAAGGGUAGUCAGACACCCCAGAUACGUCUGACAGUAUGUGAUGAUAUGUUUGCAUGCUGGCUUGUUAUGUUAUAUGCGAUAGAGGUAGUAUGAGGGGACCAGUCCCCAUGUUCAGUUGUUAGGACAGAAGGGUAGUUCACGCACCCCAGAUAUGUCUGAUUGUAUGUUUAUGUUAUGAUAUAUGUGAUAGUAGCAGUAGGGGUGGAAUAGUCCCCGNAUGGGUAGGUCAGCACCCCAAUAUGGCUUUACACGGGUAGGUCGGCACCCCAGAAUGACCGUACCGGGUAGGUCGGCACCCCAGAAUGGUCGUAUCAGGUAGGUCGGGCACCCCAGAAUUGCCUGGCAGUAUGUAUGCUAUGUGAUUGUAUGGUAUGUGGUAUGAUGGGGGAACUCACUAAGCUUUGUGCUUACGGUUUUCAGUUUUGGUUUCAGGUACUUCGUGUUUAAAGGAAAGGAGCCGGCUCGAUCGCAGCGCAUCACACUAUGGUUUUCCGCACAUGAGAUCUUUGGGAUUACACUAUGAUAUUGUUUUAUGAUAACAUGUUUGAUUAUUUCUACUUUGGUUUAUAUAUGAAAUGAUAUUACAAAUGUUUUACUACAAUGUUGGUUUUAUAAUGACGUAUUUAAAAAUGAAAUUUUUGGUCUGUAUCUUUGGGAUGUUACAAGUUGGUAUCAGAGCCUUGGUUUGAGGGAUUCGGACAUACUCUCGGGUGUGUCUGAACUCAAACUAAGGGCUUGGUAUGAAAAUUUUCAAAAGUAAAACCAUUUUAUAAAAAGGAGUUUGAAAAGAAUCUUUAAAGAGAAGAGAAUUUUGAGAAGAACAAAGUGUGUGAUGCGUGCAAUCAGCUGAGCUCAAGUAAGUUUUCCCCAAGAUACCCAUACAUGAUAUGAUAUGAUAUGAUUAUGAGAACUGCAUGCUAGAUUAGGGCUAAGGAUCUAGGAGGAUGCCUUAUAUGCCUAUUGUAUGUGCUUGUAGACUUGCAUGCUAGUACAGACCAGUCAGUGUUAGGAUAGCCUGUUUAGGUUAUGCCUGAUUGUAUGAGCCUUUGAAUUGCAUGUACAGAUUCCUGAUUAUAGGAUAGAAUGAUUUUAUUGGAAUAUGAUGGUUAGAGUUCCCACUGUCUGAAUGCUGCUUGCUUUGUGCUUUGUGGGACUUUUAGUAAUGUGAGCUAACUAUUAAAUGAAUAUGCUAAGUCACAUGUGGCACAGACUGGAUAAUCUCAGAGUGAUAGAUUUGACCCUAUUACGUAGCUCUUGUCUGAGUCCAACCAUUAUAGGGAUGAGUCUGUUACUUGAAGGAUUAUCUGAUCUCUGUUGCAUGUGGCUAUAUUCAUGAGGUAGCUAGUUGACAUUACUGGGAAUCUUUCGGCAGCUGAGGACUGGGUGAGUUCGGGAACCUAGGGAAGCCUAGGAUAUAUUUUAGUGAGUUAGUAGUGAGGCUCAGUUAGACUUGGGUGUACUAGUUGAGGAAGUGACUUGGAGGAUCCGGGAGGAUUGCUGAGGAAAGUAUGGAUAGGUGUGGAAGGUAGUAUUGGGCCCGUACUACUGAAAGCACAGGAUCCAUACUCGAAUCAGCGAGAGUCUUGGAGAAUCUAAGAAGCUUCAGGGAAGAGUUUGUGACCCAGUUUGGGGACAGAGGAUGUUCCAGUUGUUGCAGCUUAGCCAUUGGCAAGCAAGCUAGUAAGCGUGACAGGGUGUCAGACCCUGAAGGAUACGAUUUCCAAGAAUUGCAAAUGCGGGAUCGAUUUGGGAGCACUCUGGAAAGAGAGAUGCGUGCCAGGUGCGUAUAGUAGAGGGUCCCAAGAAGAGACCCUUGACUUCUGAUCAUCGGGUGAAAGGCCAGCAGGGCAUGAGUUAGUGCAGCGCAUACGAGAAGUACACGAGGGAGUUUGUCACUCCAAGGGUUUAGGCUGCUACAGGGUAGCAGGAUUGGUCAUAUCAGCAGAAGGGGGUCAGUAUUCCUCCAGACGUUGUGAGUAUGUCAUCUUCUAUUGCUACUAGAUGGAUGUUGGGGAUACGUAUCGCGUUGGAAUUGUGAGUGAGUUUGGAUAAGUCAGACCUCGGGUCGGUUUUUCUGCUAGUGUUUUGUUAUCAAGGACCGUAUAUGCCAUUUUGCAUGCCGUAAGGUCCUUGAUGAACCUAUAGAGGGACGUAUCUUGCGGGGUGGGUUCCGCGCAUACCGUUAUCAUUUCGGAUCUUUGUCAGGAUCUAUGCAGGAGUAUUAUUUAGAGGAGACUCAAUUAGGGUUAGAGUAAUAAUUAUCCAAUGAAGUCAGCGUUCAGGGAUUCUAUCAUUGUUCAGGUAUGGUUGGUAAUUGUCUAUGGAUGAACCUUGGAGUUCAAGGCACUACCGUUGCUAGGACAGAGCAGGUGACAUGAAAAGGGUAGUGUCAGUCGCGGGUGUUAUAUGCAUAAGUGGUUGGUCAUCGCAUGAUCAAGAGAAUUGUAUCCUCGCGUGGGCUAUGUUCGGUUAGAGUUCAGUGGUGCUGCGAGAUUGGAAGUGGGAAUAAGGAUUCGUCAGCCAGAGUGAAGAUUAAGGUCUUCAAUUAACAACAUGGGAGAUGGAUUGAGGCGUUAGAUUGGACCGGAUUUCAAGAGUACUCCUCUAGAUUUCAGAGGAUGGGCGAUCUUAAGGUUUGAUUGGUGAUGGAUUGUUAUCACUGGUAAGUACAGGUUGACAUCAAGGGGAUACUAGGAAGCGAGAAGGAUUGGAAAUCCUUCAAUUCUUGUGUGCAGUGAAGACUUAGUUGAAUGCAAGUGGGGGAGAGACUUUUUAUAAAGUUCUCCAAAUGUGAGUUCUGGUUGCACGGGGUGUAAUCUCUUGGGCACCUUGUCAACCAGAAGGGUAUUCUAGUUGAUCCGGCCAAGAUAAAGGUCGCGAUGUAGUGGGAGAUUCCGAGAUCUCCAUCUGAGAUUUGGAAUUCCCUGGGUAUAGCGGGUUAUUUUCGGAGAUUUAUGCAGGACUUCUUUGAGAUUGUGGUUCCUUUGACCUGACUGACCAAGAAAUCGGUAACCUUUCGUUAGGGGCCUGGGUAGCAGGCAGCCAUCGAGGCUCUCAGACAGCGGUUGUAUGAGGCACUGAUUCUCACCUUGCCAGAGGGUGUAGAUGAUUUCGUGGUUUGUCGUGACGCUUUGAUCACGGGCAUGGGUACGGUACUGAUACAGUGAGGUCACGUGAUAGCAGGUUUCAGGAACCAAGUUAGAGUUCCGGUUAGGACUCGAGUUCAGUUGAGGGUUAGGUCGAGUGCGUGUUUGACCCGGUUUGGAAAGUGUUGUAAGACUACGGGGGUAGCCAUAACAUUCACUAGUAGUCAGUUAUCAUGGGAAGUGUUGUAAGACUAUGGGGGUAGCCGUAGCAUUCACUAGACGUCAGUUAGUAUGGAAAGUGUUGUAAGACUACGGGGGUAGCCAUAACAUUCACUAGUAGUCAGUUAUCAUGGGAAGUGUUGUAAGACUAUGGGGGUAGCCGUAGCAUUCACUAGCGAUCAGAUAGUGUUAGAGUGUUGUAAGUCUGCGAGUGUAGCCGUAGCAUUCACUAGCAGCAGAUAGUGUGAGGGGUGGUAUAAGUCUGUGGGUGUAGCCGUAGCAUUCACCAGGUUGGCAAAUAGUACUAGAGUGUUGUAAGUCUGCGGGUGUAGCCGUAGCAUUCACUAGCAGCUAGAUNGGUGUUGUAAGUCUGCGGGUGUAGCCGUAGCAUUCACUAGGUUGGUAGAUGGCAUGAGCGUGUUGUUAGAACGCAAAAGGAACAGUCGUACCCACCAGUCCGGGUGCGGCGGUGAGGAUAUGGAAAUCCCCGUAUUGGAUUUUGGUAUUACCCAGAUGGAUUAGAUCUGGGUGAGCCAGUGAUAAGACUGUAGGAACGCCACUACAGUUAUGAGAUCAGAGAAGUAAUGGACUACGUAAGGGCGUUGGUGAUGUAAGGCUACCAUUGGUUAGGUAGCGAUCACUUUUAGUCUUGGAUUUGAUGAUGACAGGAUCUGACGCAUGGACCCAAUUGGUUAGAUCAUAAAGUAGUAGAGUCACAUUGGCAUGAUAACUAGUGACAACUAGUUCCAGAGAAGGAUUUCGCUCAGAAGUCGUGUGAGGCGAAUAAGUAGGGAGUCCUUUGGCUCCUCAGUCAGGUGGAAACCCAGUAUUUCAGAGGAUUGGCAAGCGAAUUGAGACCCAUGAGGUCUUGGUACCUUUUGGUAAGCAGCUAUGUAGCAGCGUAUACUGCUUUAGGCGGUUCAGUGUUCGAGCAGUUUCAACGUUUGGGCAGUGAUAAUAUGUGUGUUUUAGUUGCAUAUGCGCACGGAAUAGCUGGUUUAUUGGGGAGUGACAAGUCACCCACAGUGGGAUUAGCUGAGCCUUAGCCGAGAAUAAGGGAUUUGCAGAGGUAAUUGGGUUUGUCACCUAGGUUUAUGCCAGGAACCACAUGCUAUCAGAAGUUAAGUAGUCAGUUGAGGGAUGAACAGACUAGAUUCAUCGAUAAUGAUUUAGUAUGAGUGGUUUGUUAGGGAUUCAGACCAUCUCGAGACAGCAGAUUCAGACGGAAUAGAUAUGAUCUGGUUGCAAGGAAUUCGUUCAUAUGAGGAUAUUAGGGCUCCGCGAAGAUUGGUCAUAGCUACCCUGGAAAGGCUAGGGUGUGCCCAAGAGAGUGAUCAUAUUACUAGAAGUGGCUUGGCAUAAAAGAAAUAGUAAGGAGUGAUUUCGAGGACGAAAUCUAAUUAAAGUGGGGGAGAGUUGUAACGCCCGUUUACUUAUUAGUUAAAUAAAUUAAUUAAUGAAUGAAUGGUAGCCUAAAAGAAAUAAUUAUAUAUGCGGGGUGUUGGAUUCGAGGAGUUAAUUGCCACAUUUUUAGAAGUUGGGGGUUAAAAGUGUGAGUUUGGGACUCAUUUUAUAAAUAUUCAUGAAGACAGGGGCUCCGUGGUAAUUAUUUCGAAUUUAUUUAAAAGGGAAAUGAGGUGGAAGGAUAGAUUAUGUCAUAAUUAAGAUAUUGGGGACUGUUUGGUAAACUUUGUACCUAAGGUGUAAAUUAUUUUAAUGUUGGGGGUUUAAAUGGUAAUUUAUGGGCUAUGUUUGAAGAAAUUGUGGAAAGGAGGGACCAGAGGUGUUAUUUGGACGCAAAGUUUGUAUGGAGUCGGGGUUUAAACCCGUGUUAUCCCCCCCUUGUCGCAUUUUACACCCUAACCCUAGCGACCAUUUUGCAGCCGCCACUCUCCAUUCAACCACCUCCGGCGCUGCACCCCUCUCCACUGUCAAGGUCACAAGCGUUGUUGCCAAUCAAUGAGCACCAUCGUGAUGUAGUUUUCGAGAUCGUAAGAGAACCAUGGAUGCCGACGAGAAUGCCCACUGCCAUAUCAUCCUUGCCGACGACAACAAGGCCGUUGUCAUAGCCGUUUACGCCGCCUCCCUCGUCUGUGAAGCCAGAGAAACGAGACCACGAUGGGGCCACCAUAUCAGUCAACAACGAGGCAGGGAGACGCCAACCGCCACUGUUGCAUCGAUGUUUUCGAUGCUACCCAGAUCAAUCUUCGCCAUCUCCUGCCCGG
rnacentral:lncRNA from 1 species